rnacentral:lncRNA from 1 species
CAGUGAGUGUCCGGCUUUGGGGUUGACGCAUCCGUUUGCUGGUGAGGAUUAUUCUUUCCCUGGGUCUCUACGAGGCACAGGAGGGGCUGGGCUUGCUGAUGUCCCGAGCAGAGUGCACGCUGGGGGGAGGCGGGGGGGGGGGUGCUUGCCUUCAAAGUCACCUUCCUGGAAUAUUUCCUGGAAUGCAGCUUUUAUUUUGUAACAAAGCAAAUGUUUUAAUGUUUAUUUUCCCUCAACAAGUAAAUGU